GCCUUAUUAGCUCAGCGGUUAGAGCACUGGUCAAGUAAACCAGGGGUACAGAGUUCAAUUCUCUGAUAAGGCU